AACGCGAAGAACCUUACCUACUCUUGACAUCCACGGAAUCCUGUAGAGAUACGGGAGUGCCUUCGGGAAUCGUGAGACAGGUGCUGCAUGGCUGUCGUCAGCUCGUGUCGUGAGAUGUUGGGUUAAGUCCCGUAACGAGCGCAACCCUUGUCCUUAGUUACCAGCACGUAAAGGUGGGAACUCUAGGGAGACUGCCGGUGAUAAACCGGAGGAAGGUGGGGACGAUGUCAAGUCAUCAUGGCCUUUAUGAGUAGGGCUACACACGUGCUACAAUGGUUGGUACAAAGGGUUGCGAAGCCGCAAGGUCGAGCUAAUCUCAAAAAGCCAAUCGUAGUCCAGAUCGGAGUCUGCAACUCGACUCCGUGAAGUUGGAAUCGCUAGUAAUCGCAGAUCAGAAUGCUGCGGUGAAUACGUUCCCGGGCCUUGUACACACCGCGCAUA
rnacentral:rRNA from 1 species